rnacentral:rRNA from 1 species
AACGAACGCUGGCGGCGGGCCUAACACAUGCAAGUCGAGCGAGAAAGCACCUUCGGGUGUUAGUAAAGCGGCGCACGGGUGAGUAACACGUGGGUAAUCUACCUUCAGGUCUGGAAUAACUCGGGGAAACUCGAGCUAAUACCGGAUAAGACCACACCUCUCGGGGAAGUGGGAAAAGCGGGGGACCUCUUCGGAGGCCUCGUGCCAGAGGAUGAGCUCGCGGUCCAUCAGCUUGUUGGCGGGGUAACGGCCCACCAAGGCUAAGACGGAUAGCUGGUCUGAGAGGAUGAUCAGCCACACUGGAACUGAGACACGGUCCAG